CAGCAGCCACGGGAAUACGGAGGGGGCUAGCGUUGUUCGGAAUUACUGGGCGUAAAGCGUGCGCAGGCGGUCGUGUAAGACAGGUGUGAAAUCCCCGGGCUUAACCUGGGAACUGCGCUUGUGACUGCACAGCUAGAGUAUGGCAGAGGGGGGUGGAAUUCCACGUGUAGCAGUGAAAUGCGUAGAGAUGUGGAGGAACACCGAUGGCGAAGGCAGCCCCCUGGGCCAAUACUGACGCUCAUGCACGAAAGCGUGGGGAGCAAACAGGAUUAGAGACCCCUGUAGUCCCUGUCUCUUAUAC
rnacentral:rRNA from 1 species